GAACAAGCAUUUUGGAAGAACCUCAGCCAGUGCUGGCGGAUUGCUAUUGCUUCUCCAUUUCAUGCUUGCUGCUUGAAGUUUCCAGUAUCAGCUGGUGGUGACCACAGGAACUGUAAGAAAAAAAGACACCAGAGAAGAGCUUUGGAAACACAAGGCUGUAGAAAUCACACCACAGGAAGAGUGUGGAGAAAAGAGGUACCUGUCUCCAGUCAUAAAUGAAGACCCUUGUGUGUCCCAG
rnacentral:lncRNA from 1 species